rnacentral:piRNA from 1 species
UGGCAGUUUCAGUUUCUCCUACGGUGGUCUU